UUGGGGCUUUUUGGGGUCAUUUUGAAGUAAAUUUGUGCCUUUUUGGGGGCAUUUUGGGGCGGAUUUGUGCCUUUUUGGGGUCAUUUUGGGGCAGAUUUGAGGUUUUUGGGGACAUUCUCACGCCUUUCUGGGGUCGUUUUGGGCCCUUUUGGGACUAUUUUGGGGUUUCUUGGGGUCAUUUCAGGGUAGAUUUGUGUCUUUUUGGGGUCAUUUUGGGGCAGAUUUGGGGUUUUUGGAGACUGCUUGAUGCCUUUUUGGGGUCAUUUUGGGGCUGAUUUGUGCCUUUUUGGGGUCAUUUUGGGGCAGAUUUGUGCCAUUUG
rnacentral:lncRNA from 1 species